rnacentral:lncRNA from 1 species
GACCCCAAAAAAAUCGUAAUGAUAUUGUUCCCUUGAGAUUUACAAAAACGCCAAUGCACUUCAAAGCUUCAUUAUCCAUGUGUCUUUCUAAGUCCAUGCCUUUACCAAGUCAAAAUUCCUUCAUAUUAGUUGGUCUCACAACCUUCAAAAAUACGUGUAACCAAGAUCUGAAAUUAAAAAGAAAAAAAAAGGCUAUCACCAACUGAUUAAGGGAAAGGGCAAGUAGCAAAACAACAUUAAAGCCUUUUUACCUCAUAUGUAGUAACUGUAACCAUGUUUGCAAGAAAUUCACCUACACAAAGUAAAUUGAAAUAAACAAUAAAGAUAGAAAAUCAAUGCUUUUGAUCUGAAUAUCACAAAUCUUAUUUAUCUCGAAAAAGAAAAGGCCAAACUUAUAAAAAAAUGAGUUAGAGUUGAUGAACCUGAUCAGAAAUCUUCACUCCGACAACAGGUAUGGCGAAAAUUUCAGUUCCGGCUAGCGGCACUUCUAGGUUUUGCAACGAAACAAAGAUUAAAAAAGAAAAUCUCCAGCCUAUAGAUUGCAAAUCUAGGGCUAUGAACAUAACAACGAAAAGCUGCCAAAAACAAGACAUAGAAGAUUCAGAUAUAUAAAUCUAAAAUUAAGGAAAAUCUUACCCGCCUAUUGGGAUCAAAACCAACGAAAGAAGUCG